GACGAACGCUGGCGGCGUGCUUAACACAUGCAAGUCGAGCGGUAAGGCCCUUUCGGGGGUACGACGAGCGGCGAACGGGUGAGUAACACGUGGGUGACCUGCCCUUAGCUCUGGGAUAAGCCUGGGAAACUGGGUCUAAUACCGGAUAUGACUCCAUAACGCAUGUUGUGGGGUGGAAAGCCUUGUGCGGCUAGGGAUGGGCCCGCGGCCUAUCAGCUUGUUGGUGGGGUGAUGGCCACCAAGG
rnacentral:rRNA from 1 species